rnacentral:rRNA from 1 species
UACGAAGGGGGCUAGCGUUGUUCGGAAUCACUGGGCGUAAAGCGCACGUAGGCGGAUCUUUAAGUCAGGGGUGAAAUCCCGAGGCUCAACCUCGGAACUGCCUUUGAUACUGGGGAUCUCGAGUCCGGGAGAGGUGAGUGGAACUGCGAGUGUAGAGGUGAAAUUCGUAGAUAUUCGCAAGAACACCAGUGGCGAAGGCGGCUCACUGGCCCGGAACUGGACGCUGAGGAGCGAAAGCGUGGGGAGCGAACAGG